UGGGGAAUAUUGGACAAUGGGGGGAACCCUGAUCCAGCGACGCCGCGUGAGUGAAGAAGUAUUUCGGUAUGUAAAGCUCUAUCAGCAGGGAAGAAAGAAAUGACGGUACCUGACUAAGAAGCCCCGGCUAACUACGUGCC
rnacentral:rRNA from 1 species